GAUGAACGCUGGCGGCGUGCCUAAUACAUGCAAGUCGAGCGAACAGAUGAGGAGCUUGCUCCUCUGACGUUAGCGGCGGACGGGUGAGUAACACGUGGAUAACCUACCUAUAAGACUGGGAUAACUUCGGGAAACCGGAGCUAAUACCGGAUAAUAUAUUGAACCGCAUGGUUCAAUAGUGGAAGAAGGUUUUGCUGUCACUUAUAGAUGGAUCCGCGCCGCAUUAGCUAGUUGGUAAGGUAACGGCUUACCAAGGCAACGAGGCGUAGCCGACCUGAGAGGGUGAUCGGCCACACUGGAACUGAGACACGGUCCAGACUCCUACGGGAGGCAGCAGUAGGGAAUCUUCCGCAAUGGGCGAAAGCCUGACGGAGCAACGCCGCGUGAGUGAUGAAGGUCUUCGGAUCGUAAAACUCUGUUAUUAGGGAAGAACAAAUGUGUAAGUAACUAUGCACGUCUUGACGGUACCUAAUCAGAAAGCCACGGCUAACUACGUG
rnacentral:rRNA from 1 species